AUGGUUUUACGCUUUCUUAUAGUGUGUUUAUGCCAGAUGUCUGUGUAUGUGGUGUUUGUGUUUUUUUCUUCUUUUUACAGUUUUGAUCAAGAGGGACACUUCCUUCUCACUGGGUCCUCAGAUUCACAUAUCUAUGUACUAGAUGCAAAGCCAUCAAAGGGGUUUUCAGUAAUAGGAUUCACAGUUGUUCCUGGACCGGUUCUGUCGCUGUCCACUCAGUGCAUCAGGGACUGUGAGCAGGUGAAAGUUCUUGUGCUGUGCACUGGACAGGAGGGCAAAAAUCAUGAUGGUAGCCUGCUCACGAUGCUCUCUCUGCCGGAGAGGGACCUUACAGGUAACACUGGUGACAUACAUUGAUCUAUGACUUAUUCUCUUUUUAAUUGUUUUUUUUUUUUUUGGCACCUGUUUAACCUUGUUAAUCACAGGCUGUCAUGCAAUUACCUUUUGCACAGCCAGAAGAGAGAUAACUUUUUAUAAAAGAGGUUGAGGGUCUCAUGCAAUAAAUUAUUCAUAGGGUCAUGCGGUGAUAUUGAUCUAAAGCAAGACAUUCGGACAGAAGCUCAGGGGGUCCACUGCAGACAUGGGAGAAGUGAAGAAUCUACUUUGCAACUUGCACCAAAUGAGUUAAUGAAUCAUCAUCUCCUGCAGGUGAGGAGAGAUUUACAAGGUGAUUAAACCAAAAGCCAAGGAUUGUACUAGUCGGUAGAAAUUAACUGAGUAAUAAUGGCCUGCGGCUUGCUACGGUUACAAAAUGUGUAAGCAGCAACUAAAGAAGUUGCAGUUUUCUGGCUUUCCGUUCUCUUUGUUUUAACUCUGGGAAUCUCAUCAUUCAUCCAUGGAUGUGCUUUGACAGUGGACAUGCUUCCAAAGAGAAAACCCCAUCCACAGACAUUAGCAUAAACCAUUAAUAGUACUCAACUGGACAUUUUGAUCCAAAUGUUUAGACAUGUCGUCACUUACACUGUUGAAAAGAAAGAAAAGUGUCUGGGGGUUUACAGAAACACACGCUCUCUUUAUACUGCCUGGAAAACUAUGUUGAACAAGAUAGACCAUGAGACAGAUGGGUCUUUAAAAGGAAAGAAACAUUUGGUCAGACGGGAGUUGUGCCCACACAGGUUAAAUGGGAUUAUUAAACAUGAUUUUAGUGUGUGCUACCUACAUGAUAGUUAAAGAGCCACUCCAGACAUGUUUUAAGAAGUAAAAAAGACUGUUCUUUAUGAUAUGCAUUUUCUCAGAAAAGGUUGAAUCAUUUUGUAAAAGAAAGAAAGACUCUGCACACACUGUCCUAUGAAGUAAGCCAAGGAAGGCCAAGAAAGUACUUCAGAGAAAAGUCUGAGGAUAAAUUGUAUAAUUGUCUAAUGCUUAAAUUGAUACAGCUCUUCUACUCUACAAACAAAGGUGCCAUUGACUGAAGAAUCCCUCAGUAUUAUUGUAGAUAUGUGGAUGCAGGAUUUGCAGGCGCUCUGCAGUAAUCAUGACUAUAGACCUGGAAUUGUUUAGAACAUAAACAUGAAAAGGAGCCUGACUGUUUCUAUUGACUUAUUUAUUUACAUUUUACCAUCAGUGUUUUCACUUGCAACAUUUUGUGAUGGCGGGCCGUCACGGAAAUCCUCGCUGUUAUAGCAAUUGGGGGGAAAGAAAAAUCUAAAGUCAACAAACACAUUCCACGAUUAAUCAUCUGAACCACUUCCUCAAAAUGUAAAAAGUUGUUGCUGGGCAGUUUUGCUACUCCCUCCCCCCUCAAACUACCCUGCCGAAAGAGAGGAAGAGGCAGUGAGACAGGAGAUGUGACUCGUGAUUAUCAUAAUUUAUAAAACAUGAAGUGUGGUGAGGGUACAGCCAUUUCAACAUUUUAUACACAAGAUCUUUUAAGGUGAAUGAAACACUGAAAAUAUUUAUUAUGUGACUCUGACCUGCAGGUCUAGACUGUGUAGACCGGCAUGGUUGCCUGUCUCCUCACAUCGUCAAAGUGUCCAGAUACGAAGUGCCUCAUCCACUUCAAUCCUGUGUCCUGGGAGUCAGCGGGGUCUUUGCUUACUGCCACAAGAAGAAAACUCUUCAGCGAUUUCAGCUCCCUCAGGUUUACUGCUGCUAAUGUUUCUGAUACUUGUAAACAUAAUUCUCUGUCUUCAUUCACCUGAAAUAUCAUUGAUGCAUUUAAUCUGGGUGUUAACACACAUUAAAUCAUUAUCCUUUUCUAUGUACAGGACACAGACUCCAGUCAGCUGGUGGUCCACCUGAGACCAGAGCAGGAAGUGCGGGGUCAUCCUCUGGGCCCUGCCUCUCUUGUUCUGUCUCCUCACCAGUUAUGGCUCACUUCUGUGGGUCGAGAUGGCCUGCUACGCAUCCGAGAAACUGCUUCCAUGGUGGCUGCUCAUUUUAUUUUGUUACACUUUAUUCUUGUAAACAUUUGAGUCAUGUUUUCAUUGUCUGUUGUGUGUAUAACAACGGUUUUGCUGCCACUACAGGAGCGGUAUAUUGAGCUGCAGUGUCAUUCAUGCCGUGAUGGUGGAGUUCGGAGUGUGUCCUUCUCUGCAGACAGCCAGACGCUCCUCACAACUGGCUUUAACGAUGGGUCCCUUGUGUGUGCCAAUCUCAGGUAAAGCAGAAAGCAGCCUGUCUUACAAAGUGCACCACUGCGAACAGUAGAGGGAACUGUUGCUCGCAGGAGUAAUGUCACUCUUCUGCAGUUUGAGUAAACAUAGACCAGUUUUCAAAAAGAGUAUUCCCUCUCUCUGUAUCGACUCUGUGGAUCACUAGUAAAUAAACACAACUAAAGUGGUAAGCUGGGGGUGUUCAUGGUCAUAAUUUUGAGGAAAACAACGAUCCAAUGAAUUUAACAGCACAAUCUCCACACUGAAUCAGAUCCCACUCACAUUCCACAUCUGCUGGCUCCUCUAUGCUUUUCUUUUGAACUUUAGAAAAUGUUUCUUCUUUUUCCUCAGCUGUUACUACUUUGCUAUUAUCGUAAAUCCCUGUUGUGUUAAUGUUUUCUUUUUUUCUUUUUUUUUUUACAUCUUUUAGUGGUUCACUGUGUGUCUAAUCUCUUGGCUGCUUGCUUUGUUGAUGAUGUGGGAAUUUAAAGGAGUGGCUGGUCAUAUUCUGUUUCAUUUUGGACAUCUCCAACAAAUCCUACAAAAGACCAACACCAACAAUAGAUUGACAAGUAAAAAUAUUAUCUGUGUAGCCAAAGACUUAAAUAGCUUUUUCCUCUAUGCCAUAGAAAUCAAAAUAACUGUCCUCAAGACACUCUUGACUCCGGUUUUUAGUAACAUUUGCUAAAUAAAAAAAAGCACAGCGUACAACUGUUUUAUGAAAUUACUUUAAAACCCUUUGAAAGAAAUGUAAUUAUGUAUUUGUGACUGUUUUUUUUAAGAUUUAUGUCUUCAGUAGGAACAAAUGGGCUUUGUGUUGAAUGCAAAAGACGGGGCAGGGAGGGCAGAAAU
ensembl:lncRNA